AUUGAACGCUGGCGGCAGGCCUAACACAUGCAAGUCGAGCGGUAGCACAGAGAGCUUGCUCUCGGGUGACGAGCGGCGGACGGGUGAGUAAUGUCUGGGAAACUGCCUGAUGGAGGGGGAUAACUACUGGAAACGGUAGCUAAUACCGCAUAACGUCGCAAGACCAAAGUGGGGGACCUUCGGGCCUCAUGCCAUCAGAUGUGCCCAGAUGGGAUUAGCUAGUAGGUGGGGUAACGGCUCACCUAGGCGACGAUCCCUAGCUGGUCUGAGAGGAUGACCAGCCACACUGGAACUGAGACACGGUCCAGACUCCUACGGGAGGCAGCAGUGGGGAAUAUUGCACAAUGGGCGCAAGCCUGAUGCAGCCAUGCCGCGUGUGUGAAGAAGGCCUUCGGGUUGUAAAGCACUUUCAGCGGGGAAGAAGGCGGUGAGGUUAAUAACCUUGUCGAUUGACGUUACCCGCAGAAGAAGCACCGGCUAACUCCGUGCCAGCAGCCGCGGUAAUACGGAGGGUGCAAGCGUUAAUCGGAAUUACUGGGCGUAAAGCGCACGCAGGCGGUCUGUCAAGUCGGAUGUGAAAUCCCCGGGCUCAACCUGGGAACUGCAUUCGAAACUGGCAGGCUAGAGUCUUGUAGAGGGGGGUAGAAUUCCAGGUGUAGCGGUGAAAUGCGUAGAGAUCUGGAGGAAUACCGGUGGCGAAGGCGGCCCCCUGGACAAAGACUGACGCUCAGGUGCGAAAGCGUGGGGAGCAAACAGGAUUAGAUACCCUGGUAGUCCACGCCGUAAACGAUGUCGAUUUGGAGGUUGUGCCCUUGAGGCGUGGCUUCCGGAGCUAACGCGUUAAAUCGACCGCCUGGGGAGUACGGCCGCAAGGUUAAAACUCAAAUGAAUUGACGGGGGCCCGCACAAGCGGUGGAGCAUGUGGUUUAAUUCGAUGCAACGCGAAGAACCUUACCUGGUCUUGACAUCCACAGAACUUUCCAGAGAUGGAUUGGUGCCUUCGGGAACUGUGAGACAGGUGCUGCAUGGCUGUCGUCAGCUCGUGUUGUGAAAUGUUGGGUUAAGUCCCGCAACGAGCGCAACCCUUAUCCUUUGUUGCCAGCGGUUAGGCCGGGAACUCAAAGGAGACUGCCAGUGAUAAACUGGAGGAAGGUGGGGAUGACGUCGAGUCAUCAUGGCCCUUACGACCAGGGCUACACACGUGCUACAAUGGCAUAUACAAAGAGAAGCGACCUCGCGAGAGCAAGCGGACCUCAUAAAGUAUGUCGUAGUCCGGAUUGGAGUCUGCAACUCGACUCCAUGAAGUCGGAAUCGCUAGUAAUCGUAGAUCAGAAUGCUACGGUGAAUACGUUCCCGGGCCU
rnacentral:rRNA from 1 species